rnacentral:rRNA from 1 species
UGAGGAAUAUUGGUCAAUGGGCGAGAGCCUGAACCAGCCAAGUCGCGUGAAGGAAGAAUGUAUUAUGUAUUGUAAACUUCUUUUGUUAGGGGAUAAAAGAGGGCUCGUGAGCUCUAUUGCAGGUACCUAACGAAUAAGGAUCGGCUAACUCCGUGCCAGCAGCCGCGGUAAUACGGAGGAUCCGAGCGUUAUCCGGAUUUAUUGGGUUUAAAGGGUGCGUAGGCGGAUAUUUAAGUCAGUGGUGAAAGUUUGGGGCUCAACCUUAAAAUUGCCAUUGAAACUGGGUAUCUUGAGUGCGAUAGAGGUAGGCGGAAUUCGUUGUGUAGCGGUGAAAUGCUUAGAUAUGACGAAGAACUCCGAUUGCGUAGGCAGCUUACUGGGUCGUAACUGACGCUGAGGCACGAAAGUGUGGGGAUCAAACA